AGAGUUCGAUCCUGGCUCAGAACGAACGCUGGCGGCAGGCCUAACACAUGCAAGUCGAACGAACCUUUUAGGUUAGUGGCGCACGGGUGCGUAACACGUGGGAAUAUGCCCUUGAGUAAGGAAUAACAGUUGGAAACGACUGCUAAUACCUUAUAAUGACUCCGGUCCAAAGAUUUAUCGCUCAAGGAUUAGCCCGCGUCUGAUUAGGUAGUUGGUGAGGUAACGGCUCACCAAGCCAACGAUCAGUAGGGGGUCUGAGAGGAUGAUCCCCCACACUGGUACUGAGACACGGACCAGACUCCUACGGGAGGCAGCAGUGAGGAAUAUUGCGCAAUGGAGGAAACUCUGACGCAGCCAUGCCGCGUGAGUGAAGAAGGCCUUAGGGUUGUAAAGCUCUUUCAGAUGCGAAGAUAAUGACGGUAACAUCAGAAGAAGCCCCGGCUAAAUUCGUGCCAGCAGCCGCGGUAAUACGAAUGGGGCAAGCGUUGUUCGGAAUCACUGGGCUUAAAGCGUAUGUAGGCGGACAUGAAAGUCAGGAGUGAAAUCCCGGGGCUCAACCUCGGAACGGCUCUUGAAACUCCAUGUCUGGAAUACUGGAGAGGUUGGGAGAAUUCCUAGUGUAGAGGUGAAAUUCGCAGAUAUUAGGAGGAAUACCAGUGGCGUAGGCGCCCAACUGGACAGUUAUUGACGCUCAGAUACGAAAGCGUGGGGAGCAAACAGGAUUAGAUACCCUGGUAGUCCACGCCGUAAACGAUGUGUGCUAGUUGUUGGAGGCUUAAGUCUUCAGUGACGCAGAGAAAUCAUUAAGCACACCGCCUGGGGAGUACGGCCGCAAGGUUAAAACUCAAAGGAAUUGACGGGGACCCGCACAAGCGGUGGAGCAUGUUCCUUAAUUCGAAGCAACGCGAAGAACCUUACCCACUCUUGACAUCCUUCUUGGGGCUUUCAGAGAUGAUUGCUUUCGGUUCGGCCGGGGAAGUGACAGGUGCUGCAUGGCUGUCGUCAGCUCGUGUCGUGAGAUGUUUGGUUAAGUCCAGCAACGAGCGCAACCCUUAUUGUCUGUUGCCAUCAUUAAGUUGGGCACUCUGACAAAACUGCCGGUGAUAAGCCGGAGGAAGGCGGGGACGACGUCAAGUCAUCAUGACCCUUACGAGUGGGGCUGGGAACGUGCUACAAUGGAUGUGACAGUGAGCAGCCAGGCCGCGAGGUCGAGCUAAUCUCUAAACACAUUCUCAGUUCGGAUUGUUCUCUGCAACUCGAGAGCAUGAAGUUGGAAUCGCUAGUAAUCGCGCAUCAGCAUGUCGCGGUGAAUACGUUCCCGGGUCUUGUACACACCGCCCGUCAAGUGACGGGAGUUGGCUUUACCCGAAGAUCGUGUGCUAACUUCGGAGGCAGCGAGCCACGGUAAGGUCAGCGACUGGCACUAAGU
rnacentral:rRNA from 1 species